UACGUAGGGAGCAAGCGUUGUUCGGAUUUACUGGGCGUAAAGGGCGCGUAGGCGGCCUGACAGGUCACUUGUGAAAUCUCCGAGCUUAACUCGGAACGGUCAAGUGAAACCAAUAGGCUAGAGUGCAGAAGGGGCAAUCGGAAUUCUUGGUGUAGCGGUGAAAUGCGUAGAUAUCAAGAGGAACACCUGAGGUGAAGACGGGUUGCUGGGCUGACACUGACGCUGAGGCGCGAAAGCCAGGGGAGCAAAC
rnacentral:rRNA from 1 species